AAGUCUGGUAAACACUCUAUUAUCCAGAAGCCAGAAGAUCCCUUUGUGAAUAAUGCAUGUAAAUAGAACUGAUUGCUCCCGGAGAAAUGAAGGGUCCCAUACUUAAGGGAAGUAGAAUGCAGGUGAAGGACAAAAGCCGAGGAAUGGAGUGGCAUUUUGCUGUGCAGAACAACAGUUUGGUUCCUGCCCAGAGUUCCUGCAUUGGCUUCUCUCACUGAUGAACAUGCCAUAAGCCCGAGAGGAGUAUGUGAUGAGCAUCAACAUUGGGAGACCUUGUGAGAUGGCAGCAGUCGUGCAUGUUGUUGUUUUGAAACCAAGCACAUCCUUUAGCACAGCACAGAACACUGGGUUCUUUACACGCAUGGGCCUUUGGGAAGAACUUCCACAUCCAGUGUGACUACCCCAAGCACACAGCCCUUAAUCAUUUGAACACAGAGACCCUGUAGUCACCUGCAUUUCCCUCUGGUGGGCACUGAGUCUCUCUAUUAACCUGCCAGCGUCUAAAUUGGCUCUUCAGUUGAAGCCUAAAUGACUGCUUAUCCUAGAAGCUCUUCAUGUUCCAAAAUUAGCCCACAGUUGAAGAGCGGGUCAUGUUGCUUCCUGUCUUGGGUGAUAGCAACUUUCUCUGCCACUGGAAGCACAUCUCUUAACCUUUCUUGACUUCCCCAUCUGUGAUUUGCAGUUAAUUAUUCCGAACAUUAAGGGGCGAUGGAGAGGAUUAAUUUGUUAAUGUUUGUAAAGUACUUUAGAUAUGUAAAGUGCUAAGUAUUUCUAAAUUCCACACAAAUAAAUUGCAAUUUGGGAUCUAAGGGGAAUAAAUAGUUGCAUUUAUUUAACCAAUCUACAAAAAAA
ensembl:sense_intronic Gm15521 predicted gene 15521